AUGCAAAAUCCCAUUCCGAACACAGAUACAAAAGAUUGCAUUGCAUGGCAUUUUGAGAAGAAUGGUAUCUUUUCGGUCAGGAGUGCGUACAAGCUUGUAGCCUUCUCUAGUCAAAGUGUCCAAACAAAUCCCUCGUGUUCGAACGGAGAGGCUGGGGAUCGUAACAUUUGUGAUCUCAUUUGGAAAGCUAAGGUGCCCGAGAAGGUGAGGAUUUUUGGAUGGAGAGUCGCCAUAAAUACCCUGGCCACAAAGAGAAACAAGUUUAAGAGAACAUUAGAGCUAGAACCUACCUGCAGUAUCCGCGGCAAUGGAGAGGAAGAUGAAUUUCACGCCGUGAUCACUUGCACAAAGAGCAGGGCUCUUCGUGAUGCUAUGAGGAAAGAGUGGCCCUUACCUGCAGAGAAAUUCUUUAGGAACACCGGGAAUGAUUGGUUGCAAGUGCUCUUGGACACGGAACCAGAGGAUAUGCGAGCAAAACGGUUGCUGCUGUUUUGGAGAUGUUGGCACUUGAGAGAGGAUACGCUAAGACACAAUGGCAGGGAGUCA
rnacentral:rRNA from 1 species